rnacentral:lncRNA from 1 species
CUGAAAAAAAUAAUUUUUCUUUGGCACCCUAUAAAGAAAUGCUAUUAUAUCUAAAUAAUGUCAUUUAGAGUGGCUUGUGCAAGACAAGGUCUCCUUUUACACCAUCUCUUGAGGUUGAGUCAAAGGGAAAGUUUUCAAGUUUCAUAAAAAGAACAUUGUUGGUAGAAAGUUAUAAAAACAUGUUAAGGACUUAGUUCAGAGGAUUUUUUGCUCAAAGAUUUGCUGUUAAUAAUUUUUUAAAAAAAGGAAAACUCAGUGUCAAACAAAGAAUACACGAAUUGCGAUAUGCUUGAAAUUUGGAAAGAAUGUAAAAAUCAAACUAGUUUCACUCUAAGUUCUUGUAUAAAAUUUUAAAAUUUUGAAAUAGAAGUAUUAGAAAGUUUUU